AUUCUAACUGCCACCUGGAAAACCUACCCUGCCCACUCAUGGGGCAGUAGUGAGCCUGGGUGUGAAUUGAUAAAUCACAAGGUUGAGCUAGCGUAACCUGAAUGAACACUCUGAAACUGUGAACGAAAGUAAAUUCUUCCACCCUUACGCCAAUUGUCUUAGGAGUUUGUUCAUAACAACUAAAUCAUCACACAGCUUCCUACCCAAGAACCGGAAGGACUUCAGACCCUCCUUAGUACUGGCUUCUUGGCUCAAGUGAGGACACCCAUCAACUUAAAGACCCUGGGAACUCCGCAUGAAUGUUGAAGACCCCGGUGACCUGAGCAUAGCUGGCCCUGAGCUAAGAAUGGAAUGAGAGACUCUACAGAGCCUUGCCUGCUUGUUCCGAGAGAGAGCGUAGGAAGACGCCUUUCACUCGUCUUUAAGGAUCCAAUGAUCACGAUGAUACCGAAUUUCUAAAUUGCUCUCCUUGGUGGUUUUUCCUAAACAGUGCUAAUAAAAUCUUAAACCCA